ACAAGUCGGAGGAAGGUGGGGAUGACGUCAAAUCAUCAUGCCCCUUAUGACCUGGGCUACACACGUGCUACAAUGGGCGGGUACAAAGGGCUGCGAACCCGCGAGGGGGGAGCGAAUCCCAAAAAGCCGCUCUCAGUUCGGAUUGGAGUCUGCAACUCGACUCCAUGAAGCUGGAAUCGCUAGUAAUCGUGGAUCAGCACGCCACGGUGAAUACGUUCCCGGGCCCGUU
rnacentral:rRNA from 1 species